rnacentral:lncRNA from 1 species
AAUCACUCAGCUGACGGGCAGGCGCCUUAUCGUGGAUGCAGGAGAGGGACCACCAGAAAGGCCCCACCAAAAAAAAGCACAUCUGGGCAGAGUGUCGGAACAGAAGAGCUAUGUUGUCCCUUGCACCUUGAAGUGAUGAGCAUUGGCAGAUCUUCUGAUCUCAGCCUGGGGCUGCUGACGGUUCAGGUCCAUUUCAGAGAGAGAGAGCAACAUGCACGGGGUGAACCUCAAAAGAGAAAAUCUGUGAGUCUGAGGUUUUCCUCUGCUACUCCUCAGCCUCUCUCGCGUUCUGUUUGUUCAUCUCUCUCUCCUCUCUUGUAGCUGAGACAGGCUGUCUAGACAUUGCAGAUGUGGACAGAUGUUGGGUCUGUAAUUUAUAACAACGGCCUCCAGAAGGCAAUUCCAAUUUGUUUCGAUGUGAGCGCUCUACACUGGGCUCCUGAAACCAUGCCUGCUGCUGGUUGUCCGGCUUCCCAUCAUGGUGGACUCUUAUCCUUCUGGAACACAGGCUCAAGGAAACUCUUUGUUCUAUAAGUUGCCUUAGCUAUGGUGUUUUAUCACAGCAACAGGAAGGUAACUAAGACAGAUAGGGAGCUGACCAAGUCUGUGUAAUCACAGGUUUUUCCCAAGGUGCAACAUGUUCACAGACAGCUGUAGUAGGAGCUGGAGUGAAGGCCAGGCUGGUACUUUUGCAAUUGCUAGGGGAAGUCUUUCCUAGAGGCUGUUUCCAGUGUGGCACAGUGUAGACCUCCAGGAAAGGUAGACAUGGUGGGAACGUGCUUUGUAACCACGAGCAUCGAGCAAAGAAGCUAGAGACAUAAGUGUGCUCCACCACUGCCCAGGCAGAUUUGUAAAACUCUGAGCUCUGAGCAUCUAUCUGCUCCUUGAAGACUUUUGUGAAAGGUCUUCCUUCUCUGUGCCUGGUGCAUUCAACUCUGAUGCCCUCAGAGGUGAGUGGAUUUCCAUUCCCAGAGAAUGAAAAAAAAAAUGAGCAGAAACCCUGCUGAACCUGGGGGCCACUGAGAAGAUGCCUCAGAGCCCCGGGCCGCAGUUAAGGUGACGAGAUGCAGCAAUUCUUUAUGAACAUUUCAUUCCUGCUCGCUACACGACGUAAAUUAGAUGGUGUGUUACAUUCGGGCAAUAAGAGAGAUAUGUCACCACGACGCUGGCCCAUUGGAUGGAGAGGGGGUUUGGCGAAGAGCGGAAAGGAUUUCACCCUGAUGUGCACACUACUGAGUGACCCCGCUCACCAGCGGCUCUGCUGAUUGCUUUGCACCUUGCAGACUUCGAUACUGGCUCAGCCUCUUGCCGGCCUCGCUCCCUCUGGGUCUCCAGCCCACCCUUCCCCUGCCUGGCUUUCUCUUGAAGCCAAAGCCAAGAGACCUAACAGAGGAGUCACAAAGGUCACGAAGGGAUGGAUGUCUCUGUGGGGAAGAGCAGGGCGGCAGAGCUAACACCAAAAUAAAACAAAAA